CCAAAUUGUAUAAAUUGGUGUUAAGCUCUUCUGAAGUAAAUGGAAUGCAAAAUCAUGAAACGUUAUUAAGCUCAUUUUUUCGCCUGAAAGUUAGAAUUUAAGGAGACAGAAAGACAGGGCACUAGAAAAUAGAGGAAAGAGAAUGGAAGAGCCUAAUCCAUCUACUUGAUUCUACAAGAGAUUGGUAUAAAGGAGAGUCCGCUUUCUUAAGUUCGUUGUUCGUGAUUAUAUUUAUCAAUUUUGUCUCCUUAACAUUAUACUUUAUUCCUCCUGUGCAAUUUAAAAGUUAAAACCCAUCAGUCCUUUAACUCCCCAGACAAACAGCACCAAUGGAAGAAGAAGCAAAGCCAGCUGAGUCCACAGCUACCCAAGUCCUCCCAACCCCUCUGAGCUCCGCCGAAGUUCUCCCUGUAUAGCCUCCUCCGUCUUCUCUUCCUCCCAAGACCAAGAAGAGACCUCUUGAAAAUGAUGCUCUUUUCUCCAAAUCAUCCACCCUCUAGCGUCCUCAUUUCGAGGUUCUCCACUUUGGAACAUGCAAGCCAUCCGAAGAAAUUCAAGAAUAUGUGAAGCUUCUGAUGGAACUUUGCAAACAACAGAUGACGGCAGAAAAAGUUUCGGCAACAAGAAGUAAGAAUGCACCAGCUGAAAAGCCCCAAGAUACAAGGGCUUUUGGGAAGCCAUCAGAAAGUAAGUUUCCAUCAGGUGUAGCCAGUGAGAAGCAGCGGGCUGAAGAUGGUCAGACUCAAGGGACAUAUAUUGUUGGUAGGUCUGCUUUUGGCUGGAAUUUCAUUAUAUUUGUGGGGGAAGAACCAGUCUACUAUGGAAUAACAAAGGAGUCAUUUUGAGCUAAUGGCAGCAAAGAAACAGUUCUGUAGUCCUACCGUUACCAUAGACUGUGAUUGCUAGCAGAAAUUAUUAAUCCUACCCCAUUAUAUAAAAGAAAAAGGGGAUUUCAUUGAUGAUUU